UGGGGAAUCUUGCGCUAAUGCGGGAAACCGUGACGCAGCGACGCCGCGUGAGGGAAGAAGGCCUUCGGGUUGUAAACCUCUUUCAGGAGGGACGAAGCUACUCGGGUUAAUAGCCCAGAGGGUGACGGUACCUCCAGAAGAAGCACCGGCUAACUACGUGCCAGCAGCCGCGGUAAUACGUAGGGUGCGAGCGUUGUCCGGAAUUAUUGGGCGUAAAGAGCUUGUAGGUGGCUCGUUGCGUCGGGAGUGAAAACCUGCGGCUUAACCGCAGGCCUGCUUCCGAUACGGGCGAGCUAGAGUUCGGCAGGGGAGACUGGAAUUCCUGGUGUAGCGGUGGAAUGCGCAGAUAUCAGGAGGAACACUGGUGGCGAAGGCGGGUCUCUGGGCCGAUACUGACACUGAGAAGCGAAAGCGUGGGGAGCGAAC
rnacentral:rRNA from 1 species